rnacentral:rRNA from 1 species
AUGGGAUUCUACAGUCUAAAUAAAUCCCUCCAUCACGAUAUCGCCAAGUACCAGUCCUGGUUCUUCUGGGCGGGGAAGGGUGAUAAGCAGAAGUACCAUAUGGUGAAAUGGUCGAAGAUUUGCAAACCCAAGGACCAAGAGGGCCUUGGCAUUAUCUCGUCCAAACGAAUGAACAUAGCCCUUUUAUCCAAAUAGCUAUGGCGGAUCACCUCAGGGGAGGGUGGGCUUGGCUGGAUAUUAUCCGCGCUAAAUAUUUGCGUGGUCAGGGCUUGGCGUUUGCACGGAGAUUGGGUGGCUCCUAGUUCUGGCAGACGAGCAUCCAACUCAUGCCAGCCCUUCGCCUCGGUUCUUCUAUUUCGAUCGGAGACGGUACCACCAUCCAACUCAAACCACAUUUUCUUUGCAUGCCCCUCUGCGAGAUUUUUAUGGAGCUGCCUUCGUGAGGUGGUGGGUGGCAGUUGGUGCCAUGCUAACCCGCCGGACAUGUUUGCGGAGGUUCUCGCAUUUCCCGAUACAGGGCAUCCCUCCCUCUGGGUGUUGGUUGGGACGCUGAUGUGGACAUUAUGGAAUCAUUCCUCUGCGAGUGGCUGA